CCACAGCCUGAGAUCUGGGCUGGACCCAGCCCAGCACCGUUCACAGAGCUGCUGUUCCUCCCCGGGGCAGACAAUGAAACAGCAGCCUCUGUAGGCAGAGAAUCCAUACCCUUGAGAAGGCGGUAACCAGAGGGGAGGGAGAAUUCUCGUUUCCACUGGUCUCCUGCAGACCUUUCUCGGAUUGACUCCGCUUCUGUAUAUUCGUCUUCAAGGGAGAGAAGAAACGGAGCUCACCAUGGCCUCAGAGAGUGGAGCUGCUCUGUGGAGCCUUCUCCUCACCUUUGCUUUUCUCUUCUCCUGCUGCGAAGCUCAAGUGGUUCAGAGCCCCGAGUCGCUGGUUACAGGGGAAGGGAAGGUCUCCACCAUGUCCUGCUCUUUCACCAGCGCUUUCCAAGCCUUCCAGUGGUACCAGCAGCUCCCUGGGCAAGGGCCGACCCACCUGCUGACCGCGAGCUCCAAUGAGAAUGUCACUGUGGGGCGAUUCAUAGGCGAGCGCCUGGAAAAUGGGAAACGCAGCUCCCUGCACAUCACCGACUCCCAGCUGGGGGACUCAGGCAGCUACCUCUGUGCGGUGGAUGCACAGUGACACAGGCAGAGCUGGGCUCAGGGCAAAAACCCUCAGUCUCUGACAGGCAGCUUGGCGGAGGAGAUGCCGGGGCAGUUCCCCGGGGGGUGAAAAGCAGUGUAAAUCCAUGGUAGCCAAGGGGACUCAUCCUCAGCUGUUAUAAAUGGGCAGAGCUCCAGUGGAGUCGAUGGGGCCAUAUCAUAAGGCGCUGGGGACUGGAACCCAGGUCUGCAGAUCCUGGGACAGC